rnacentral:rRNA from 1 species
AUGAACGCUAGCUACAGGCUUAACACAUGCAAGUCGAGGGGCAGCAUGGUCUUAGCUUGCUAAGGCCGAUGGCGACCGGCGCACGGGUGAGUAACGCGUAUCCAACCUGCCUUACACUCUUGGACAGCCUUCUGAAAGGGAGAUUAAUACAAGAUGUUAUCAUGAGUAAGCAUUUUCGCAUGAUUAAAGGUUUACCGGUGUAAGAUGGGGAUGCGUUCCAUUAGAUAGUAGGCGGGGUAACGGCCCACCUAGUCUUCGAUGGAUAGGGGUUCUGAGAGGAAGGUCCCCCACAUUGGAACUGAGACACGGUCCAAACUCCUACGGGAGGCAGCAGUGAGGAAUAUUGGUCAAUGGACGAGAGUCUGAACCAGCCAAGUAGCGUGAAGGAUGAAGGUUCUAUGGAUUGUAAACUUCUUUUAUACGGGAAUAAACGAAUCCACGUGUGGAUUUUUGCAUGUACCGUAUGAAUAAGGAUCGGCUAACUCCGUGCCAGCAGCCGCGGUAAUACGGAGGAUCCGAGCGUUAUCCGGAUUUAUUGGGUUUAAAGGGAGCGUAGAUGGGUUGUUAAGUCAGUUGUGAAAGUUUGCGGCUCAACCGUAAAAUUGCAAUUGAUACUGGCAGUCUUGAGUACAGUUGAGGUAGGCGGAAUUCGUGGUGUAGCGGUGAAAUGCUUAGAUAUCACGAAGAACUCCGAUUGCGAAGGCAGCUUACUAACCUGUAACUGACAUUGAUGCUCGAAAGUGUGGGUAUCAAACAGGAUUAGAUACCCUGGUAGUCCACACGGUAAACGAUGAAUACUCGCUGUAGGCGAUAUACAGUCUGCGGCCAAGCGAAAGCAUUAAGUAUUCCACCUGGGGAGUACGCCGGCAACGGUGAAACUCAAAGGAAUUGACGGGGGCCCGCACAAGCGGAGGAACAUGUGGUUUAAUUCGAUGAUACGCGAGGAACCUUACCCGGGCUUAAAUUGCAACCGAAUAUGGCGGAAACGCUAUAGCUAGCAAUAGCGGUUGUGAAGGUGCUGCAUGGUUGUCGUCAGCUCGUGCCGUGAGGUGUCGGCUUAAGUGCCAUAACGAGCGCAACCCUUGCCGAUAGUUACUAACAGGUUAUGCUGAGGACUCUGUCGGGACUGCCAUCGUAAGAUGUGAGGAAGGUGGGGAUGACGUCAAAUCAGCACGGCCCUUACGUCCGGGGCUACACACGUGUUACAAUGGGGGGUACAGAGGGCUGCUACCACGCAAGUGGAUGCCAAUCCCAAAAACCUCUCUCAGUUCGGAUUGAAGUCUGCAACCCGACUUCAUGAAGCUGGAUUCGCUAGUAAUCGCGCAUCAGCCACGGCGCGGUGAAUACGUUCCCGGGCCUUGUACACACCGCCCGUCAAGCCAUGGGAGCCGGGGGUACCUGAAGUGCGUAACCGCAAGGAGCGCCCUAGGGUAAAACUGGUGACUGGGGCU